CACAAGUAAAAGAUCUCUGGUUUUGUUACCUGAUAUUAAAUAUAAUAACUUUUACAUUCUAAUUAUGUGCUUUGUUUUUAAAUUCACUAACGUAAAGAACUCACCGUGGUUUUGUGGGCUGAAAAUGUUCUGAAUCGCUUGAGCCAGCAUGAAUUCACUCAACAGCCAUAAUAAGAUAAGAGCCAUAAUUCAAUUCACUUCUUGUAACACACGCACAAAAAUCACUGGCACUGUGUAAGGAAAUGUUCACGAAAGCGCUGGUUGAAAGGAGACGCUCCGCGUUGGUAGGUAGGUCUGACACGGCUGACGUUGGCCGAAGAAAUGAGCAACUGCGUCAGGCAAAGUGCAGUUCAAAGGAUAACCAGCAUAUGUAUUGUUUGCGUGCUGGCGCAUGCAUCACCCAAGCUCUGUAUCCGCACAUGUGUGAAAGGACAGUUGCCCCCGUGAUUCGGUAGUCUAGACAACUCCAAAAGAAACAACGACACCAAGAGGUGGCCAACCAUCUACGGUAAUGUGUGCACACACGGGCUUUUGCAUAUGCUACAUGGGCUUGGCCAGCUAGCAGCUAGCAGGUACCAGCUAUGAGCUAUGAGCUCUAGAUGUAGAUGGUUAAACCUUUGCGCAGUAAUGGGCGGGUCCUUUACUUACGUAUAAGCUUCGACGUUUGCCGCUCUGCCGCUUUGCUGGGCAGGAAAAGGUGCAGCAGUGUGAAUGUAUUUUAAGCGCAGCUCCUACCAACAAAUCGUUUCUAACCAUUCGCCACUUUAGUUAAAGCUUCAGAUUUAAAGACUUGAAUCAAUGAGACUAAUUUGAAAGGAUUUGCUAGAUUUUUAUUGUAAAAAUUCACUACAAGUGCUAAGCUCAAAUGAAGCAUAAGUCCAUUUCUAAUACAAUAUAUACACAAAGAGAAAAUAAUAUACAUAUUUAUAUUAAUAUUUGAA